CUGACACUGAUUGAUUGGACUUGCAGUGGGUAAACUCACCUCGUCUGAAACUCCAUCCUCGUCCAGCACCUGCAGCCUGUGAACGACGAACAUGUCAAAACAACGCCACGGUUUCUGAGUCUGAUGUCAUAUCCUGCAGGGCACUGGAAAGACUUGGCAGACGUCCCAGCAGCACAGCCUCCUGGGGCUGAUUCAGCCAAUGUUCCCACCCAGGAAUCCUGGACGUCUGACAGGAAACAGGCCUAACUCUCCCAAGGCCACUAUAAGUCAGCCUCUCCCCUCACCCCAAGUCUCCCCCUUAUCCAAAAGCCUCUCUCGGGACCUUUCUUUAUGCUUCUCUCAGACAAACAAUUUUACAAAUAGACAUUCUUCUUCACCGCACCCCAUUUUCACCCUCCCUGCCCUAUGCCCGGCUUCCCAUCAUAGCCCUGUAUUACUUUAGCCUUCAAGCAACUAAACGAUUUUAUUAGCUGAGAGAAACAUGAUUAAUGACCAAGCAGCAUUCGUAUGUACAAUUUCAGACUUUCAUGUUGAAGCUAGUGCUUUCCUGACCUUGUCAGAGCAUGUUAGGAUUAAAUGCUGAAUUUGAAUACUCGUCAGAUGUAGGCACAAUAGAAGACAUCUCAGGACAUGCUUCAGAAUUAAACACACAAAAUGGAUUCUUUCAGUAUUUCGUUUAUUUUAUAAAAAAAAGGAAUGCAAUUAACAAAAUGUUUAUGUACCUACAUUAGUGUUUCAGAUUGUACCGAUUUAACACAGGCAGCGUGCUACAGGACACACAAGGCUAUUGCACACGAGACAUUUCAUACAAUACAAAUCAUACAUACUGUACAAAGAUACAUACAUACAUACUUACAAACAUACAUAGUUAUUCAUGUAUUUAUCAUAAAAAAAAUAGUCAGGCAAAACAAUGAAGUGAUAGGUACACAGAUCAGACUCUCCAUCUAAAAAAAAGACUGGGGGAAAGCAAACAUCACUGAAGCUGCCAAAGUGCUUUUCACCAUUUCUACUUGGCCAUCUUAAUGUAAAAAUCAAUAUAAAAAAAAAAACACUGAGUGAGAGAGAAGAGUUUUAAAUGUGUGUCUACAGGAAGAAGGUUAGUCUAACCCUGAACAACAGGAACCGGACAAUGAAAAACAGGACUUCCUAUGGAUGAAGGAAGUUGCACGUUGUAGGAUGUCAGAGAAUGAGGAUAAAGCUGACCUCCCACGAGGGUAGAUCUCCUCUGUGUGCUUGAAACCGGAUCUUCUCCUAUUUCGUAGGGGAGGUAAGGGUUAUUUGGAAAGAUGAGACCUGCUUACAUCUUUAGUCACACAAGGCAUAUGGCUAGCAAAUUAAACCAGAUGUUCACAACAAAUUCUUGUUCAUGGUGCUAUUUAAGACUUCACAGUGAGAGUUACCUAACCUGCUGAUCCCACUCUUUUCUGACUAUGACUUGGUAAUUCAAACUGAUGAUCGAUAAUACUGUCAACAAUGGAGCGCCUGCCCCAAACACUUCAUACAUACAUUCAGCCUAAUUCCUCAAGAGGAAGGCACAAACAGAGACAGCACAUUGCUGCUAUGUUGCUACAACGCUGACAGGACAUUGGUCCCAUUUGUCAGAGAUGCUGGACAGCUGUCAUUGAGUAAGAUUCAUCAGUGCCACCUAACUUCAGGAAAUGUGCUUUCUGAUUAGGCCUUCCUCGACGGAAACUGUUAAGAUACAAAAGACAACAGUAAAAGCAAGAGGGACAGAUUAUGAGGACAAAUAGGACUAGGGGUGUUAGUGAUGGAAGCUGUAGCUGUAAUAUAUCAUACACAUCAGCGCUUACAAAUAA